UGGGGAAUAUUGCACAAUGGGCGCAAGCCUGAUGCAGCCAUGCCGCGUGUGUGAAGAAGGCCUUCGGGUUGUAAAGCACUUUCAGCGAGGAGGAAGGUGGUGAACUUAAUACGUUCAUCAAUUGACGUUACUCGCAGAAGAAGCACCGGCUAACUCCGUGCCAGCAGCCGCGGUAAUACGGAGGGUGCAAGCGUUAAUCGGAAUUACUGGGCGUAAAGCGCACGCAGGCGGUUUGUUAAGUCAGAUGUGAAAUCCCCGGGCUCAACCUGGGAACUGCAUUUGAAACUGGCAAGCUAGAGUCUCGUAGAGGGGGUAGAAUUCCAGGUGUAGCGGUGAAAUGCGUAGAGAUCUGGAGGAAUACCGGUGGCGAAGGCGGCUCCCUGGACGAAGACUGACGCUCAGGUGCGAAAGCGUGGGGAGCAAACAGAUUAGNUACCCUGGUAGUCCACGCUGU
rnacentral:rRNA from 1 species